rnacentral:rRNA from 1 species
GAUGCUAAUACCGGAUAACAACAGAUGAUGCCUAUCAACUGUUUAAAAGAUGGUUCUGCUAUCACUAUUGGAUGGACCUGCGGUGCAUUAGCUAGUUGGUAGGGUAACGGCCUACCAAGGCGAUGAUGCAUAGCCGAGUUGAGAGACUGAUCGGCCACAUUGGGACUGAGACACGGCCCAAACUCCUACGGGAGGCAGCAGCU